AUUGAACGCUGGCGGCAGGCUUAACACAUGCAAGUCGAGCGGGGGGAGGUAGCUUGCUACCGGACCUAGCGGCGGACGGGUGAGUAAUGCUUAGGAAUCUGCCUAUUAGUGGGGGACAACAUCUCGAAAGGGAUGCUAAUACCGCAUACGUCCUACGGGAGAAAGCAGGGGAUCUUCGGACCUUGCGCUAAUAGAUGAGCCUAAGUCGGAUUAGAUAGUUGGUGGGGUAAAGGCCUACCAAGGCGACGAUCUGUAGCGGGUCUGAGAGGAUGAUCCGCCACACUGGGACUGAUACACGGCCCAGACUCCUACGGGAGGCAGCAGUGGGGAAUAUUGGACAAUGGGGGGAACCCUGAUCCAGCCAUGCCGCGUGUGUGAAGAAGGCCUUAUGGUUGUAAAGCACUUUAAGCGAGGAGGAGGCUACUUUAGUUAAUACCUAGAGAUAGUGGACGUUACUCGCAGAAUAAGCACCGGCUAACUCUGUGCCAGCAGCCGCGGUAA
rnacentral:rRNA from 1 species